rnacentral:lncRNA from 1 species
AAUUCUAGUUGGAGCUUCAAACCGUGGCAAGCUGCACCAAAUUUUCGUUCUUGUAAACCCAGACUAGAAAAGAUAUAUAUAUAUAUAUAUAUAUAUAUAUAUAUAUAUAUACAGUGGCGGAUUUAGGGGGGCGGAAGGGGGUUCACCCGAACCCCCUUCGCCGAAAAAUUACACUGUAUAUAUAAGGCAAAUCUGCUUUUUACCUUUAUAUAUUAAGUUUUGAACUCACUUAACACAAUCCAAAAGUGUAGUUAAGUGGUCAAGGGGGUUCAAAAUUUUUAUAAGGUCAUAGGUUCAAUUUCCACUAACUACAAAAAAAAAAAAUUGAACCCCCUCCCUGGAGAUCCUGCCUCCGCCACUGUAUAUAUAUAAUAAAAGUGUGAGAAGAACACCAAUAUUCAAGUCCCAAAUAAAUAAGAAACUUAUGCCAGAUAUCCUAUUACUCGAUAUCAUAUCCCAUAGAAGAACAUAUUUCAGGUACAUGUAAAAAUACAAGUAGCAACAAUCAAUUAUAUGCAGAGUAUGUGCCUUCAGUUUUCAUGUCUUCCUAACAUCCUCUUUAAUGAAGUAAUUGCAUAUAAUUUAUGACCCAUUCUGGUCAAUUGUCUUAUAUAUAGUGUAGGAUAUAAGCUUCUAUAUUAUAAAUGCAUAGCAAAAGUUCUCAUAAGUUAGCCUCUUGUGGCCUAUUCCUUUAGUACAAUGUCUCAAAUUUUACAAUCUUUCAUGUAAUAUUUUCUACAUCACUGUAAACAUGAUAUUGAUGUGUAACAUCUCAUUGUUUAUUUCUUGCUAGACAAUGGUAGUACUACUUACUACGGCAACAUCAUGUGUUACAUCAUCAUCACAAGAGGGUUGGGGUUGAAGUGACCUAACUAUCCAGUAGAAUUGAUUGGAGUAGUCACAACAAUUUUACGUGCUAGUUAUUGUUGUCCCUCCAGCUCUAUCAAUUGUGAAUUAAAUAUUAAAUUGCUUUGGUCUAGCCACUAAUUUCAUCUUAAAAAAUUAAGAAAAUUUCAAAACUUUAAUAAAGGGAGCUUUUGCCACCAAAUCAAUUAGAGAGUAUAUUGUGCAACAACAUAUAGUAAUUUAAUAUAUAGCAUUGACAGAUGAUUAAAGUAAAGAAUUCUAGAUUACCCAAUCCCUUAAAGGGGUACAUCUAAUUAGGUUAACAUUUAUGCAUCAGUCCAUUAGCAGAUGCAUAAGCAGCUUUUUAACACUUUAUAUUGAUAAACUUUUUUCCUGAAUUUAUAAUAUCAAAAUGCAGGAUAGGUAUUUUAGUGCGCAACUACAAUAUAAGAAAUAAAGAUGAGUAAUAAGCACAAAAUUCAUGCAAUAUAUAAACUUGUUUCAAGUUACUAUUGAUAUCUAUGUGCAACGUUCAAUUUCAUGAAUAUCCGUUUUUUUUUAAAACAAUUAUGACAUUUAAGCAAAAGCCAAAAUAACAAAAUUUUGAUAUGAAAAGAUGAUGUUAUUAGAUAGAAUGUUAACAUUAUUCUUUGCUAGCUUAAAGCCAUCAGACGUGAAUGUUCUCCUACACAAAUACAAAUUAUCCUUUGACAUGUAAAAAGUGUUGAAAGCAAAUUUUCUACUCAAUAGUAAGGAGGAACUGCAUAAUAAAUAUGUUGAAGGUUGAUACAUGAGAACUUCCUAACUGUUUGUUCCUUUAGUUCAAAUUGAACCAGGAAUUAGGAUAUUCUAAUGACUCAUACUAUUUCGGCUAAUUAUGCUCAUCUAUGCGGAGUGUUAUUGCAACUAUGCAAUAAUUGCAUUGUCACAGACGAUGUCUUUUAAUUCAGCUUUAUUUGUUCAUAGUUGCAUUAAAAGGACUUUUUGACAAUUGGCAUCAGUCUAUAUAAUUCUCGCUGCCUAAACCUUUUGUUAGCAUGAAUUUUUUCAAUUAUUUGAUCAUUUUUAUGAUUCCCAGAGAGAAAUAGUAAUAAAAAAAAGGAAUGGAAGAAACUAAUAGAUGGUGGAAACAUAGAAUUAUUCUUCCUUCGUAUUAUCAUCAAUUUGUCUGAUGAAAAAGCAAACUGAAAGUAUGAGUGCAAGUCCGUUUAAUGAAAGAAGAAAUAAGUGAGAAAGGUAGGAGUGGCUGAAUUUAUCUGCUACUGAAACAACAACACCAACAACAAUUAAAGAAACGCUUUGAUUAUUGAAUUUGAUGCAGGAUCAACAUGUUACU